rnacentral:rRNA from 1 species
UCGUCAGCUCGUGUCGUGAGAUGUUGGGUUAAGUCCCGCAACGAGCGCAACCCCUAUUGUUAGUUGCCAUCAUUCAGUUGGGCACUCUAGCGAGACUGCCGGUAAUAAACCGGAGGAAGUGGGGAUGACGUCAAAUCAUCAUGCCCCUUAUGACCUGGGCUACACACGUGCUACAAUGGUUGGUACAACGAGUUGCGAGUCGGUGACGGCGAGCUAAUCUCUUAAAGCCAAUCUCAGUUCGGAUUGUAGGCUGCAACUCGCCUACAUGAAGUCGGAAUCGCUAGUAAUCGCGGAUCAGCACGCCCGCGGUCCGAAUACGUUCCGGGCCUU